UUACCGAAGCUUGGUCGCACCCCAAGGUUAUAAAGUGAAUGCGUUAGGAAAAGCAAACUGCCAGCUGCGUUUAUCCGCUAUUCCCCCUUUUCUCCUCCUAUGCUUUUUCUGGAGAAAGGAGUCACGUCUUACAGCAUCGCGCUGUGCGAUCACCGUCGGUCUCGCGACCUGACUGUGUUCCCUUUGACAAGAAACUUGACUAGAAUCCGAUGCUAGCCGUGUUUAUGUUCAACGGGCCCUUUCUUUCUUUACGCAGGUACGUACGCGUACCUGCUAUAUCAGAAGAAAGGGAACGGAGGGCGUACAUCUGCUAGGCAGGUAUACUAAGGAAGUAACGUCUUACAGUAUUGUGCUGUGCGAUCGAUCACGGCGCGGAGUCUCCUCCAGCUAGGUAGCGUGGGGGUCGUUGAUCGUUAGGAUCGACUGCCCCAGCGUCUCCCUCGGCUGAUUGAGAGACCGGGCUGUGCGCGUUCUCUUUGACGGGAAACCAUCAAUCUACCUACCUACUAGUGGCUCGGCUGGCCGCUCGGAAGCUUGGCAGAAGAAGAGAGAAGGCGGAGUACCGAGGACGAACCCGGAAUGGCUAUUUGUAAUAUGGAAAGAAACCCCGCGAAAGAAUUGCAUUAUGCGAUGUCGGCGAGAGCGUCUCGCCGAGCUUUGCUAAGCUCGAACCAAAGCGUACCCACAUUUCAACCCCAACAAACUCUGAAUCUGAACWAAAAAGGAGNNGUCCUCUGCGACCGCCGCGCCUUCUCAACCUUUAACGUUGUAAAACUUUCAGCGACGGAUGUCUUGGCUCCCACAACGAUGAAGAACGCAGCGAAAUGCGAUACGUCUUGCGACUUGCAGAAUCCAGUGAAUCAUCAAAACUUUGAACGCAUCUUGCGCUUCCGGGAURUUCCUGGKAGNNNNCUUGUCGGAGUGUCUGUUGACACCACUCGCCCCACUUUUCGGCCUGCUGCUUUACUGUAGUAGAAGUGCCGAGAUGUUGGCGGCGGACUCUGCGUGUUCCGGAGCUCGCGCUCCGAGUGCACCUAACCUCGUGAACGAGACCCCCCUGUUCAGAUGAGCAGGAUUGUUGACGGCAUGGCGCGCUGCUUCGGCGGUUCGUCACGACUUCUACAAUCCGCCGUACGCUCUCUCCUUGUAACACUGGUGGUGGUCGCCUUUUAGUUCCGGUUGCCCUUUGCGCGCACUACUACGCGAUAACUAACCCAACUUUCGUU
rnacentral:rRNA from 1 species